GGUGGAUUCAUCAUGUUCUACGGAGUCUUCUUCAUCAUGUCCAUCAAAUGA
rnacentral:sRNA from 1 species